CGGGCCCUGCACUCGGAGCAUCUGGCCAGCCCUGCUGGCUCCGGGCAAUGAGGGACUUAGGACCCGGGCCAGUGGCUGUGGAGGGUGUACUGAGUCCCCCACCAGUGCCAGCCGACCGGCGCUGUGCUCGAUUUCUCACCGAGCCUUAGCUGCCUUCCCGCGGGGCAGGGCUUGGGACCUGCAGCCCGCCAUGCCUGAGCCUCCCACCCACUCCAAGGGCUCCUGUGUGGCCCGAGCCUCCCCGACAAGCACCACCCCCUGCUCCAUGGCGCCCAGUCCCAUCGACCACCCAAGGGCUGAGGAAUGCGAGCGCACGGCGUGGGACUGGCAGGCAGCUCCACCUGCAGCCCUGGUGCGGGAUCCACUAGGUGAAGCCAGCUGGGCUCCUGAGUCUGGUGGGGACGUGGAAAGUCUUUAUAUCUAGCUCAGGGAUUGUAAACACACCAAUCAGCACCCUGUGUCUAGCUCAAGGUUUGUGAGUGCACCAAUCGACACUCUGUAUCUAGCUGCUCUGGUGGGGCCUUGGAGAACCUUUAUGUCUAGCUCAGGGAUUGUAAAUACACCAGUCAGCACCCUGUGUUUAGCUCAAGGUUUGUGAGUGCACCAAUCGACACUCUGUAGCUAGCUGCUCUGGUGGGGAUGUGGAGAACCUUUAUGUCUAGCUCAGGGAUUGUAAAUACACCAAUGGGCACUCUGUAUCUAGCUCAAGGUUUGUAAACACACCAAUCAGCACCCUGUGUUUAGCUCAAGGUUUAUGAGUGCACCAAUCGACACUCUGUAUCUAGCUGCUCUGGUGGGGCCUUGGAGAACCUGUGUUUCCAAACUCUGUAUCUAACUAAUCUGAUGGGGAUGUGGAGAACCUUUGUAUCUAGCUCAGGGAUUGUAAACGCACCAAUCAGUGCCCUGACAAAACAGGCCACUGGGCUCUACCAAUCAGCAGGAUGUGGGUGGGGCCAGAUAAGAGAAUAAAAGCAGGCUGCCUGAGCCAGCAGUGGCAACCUACUCCAGUCCCCUUUCACACUGUGGAAGCUUUGUUUUCUUGCUCUUUGCAAUAAAUCUUGCUACUGUUCACUCUUUGGGUCCACGCUGCUUUUAUGAGCUGUAACACUCCCCGUGGAGAUCUGCAGCUUCACUCCUGAGCCCAGCAAGACCACAAGCCUACUGGGAGGAAUGAACAACUCCAGACGUGCUACCUUAAGAGCUGUAACACUCACUGUGAAGGUCUGCAGCUUCACUCCAGAGCCAGCGAGACCACAAACCCACCAGAAGGAAGAAACUCCAAACACAUCUGAACAUCAGAAGGGACAGACUCCAAACACGCCACCUUAAGAGCUGUAACACUCACUGCGAGGGUCUGCGGCUUCAUUGUUGGAGUCAGGGAGACCAAAAACCCACCAAUUCCGGACACAAAAUGAUCUUCUCACCUCAGCCUCCCAAGUAGCUGGUACCCAGGUGUGUGCCACUCAGAGGUGACAGCAUGCUGGCAGUCCUCACAGCCCUCAUUCGCUCUUGGUGCCUCCUCUGCCUGGGCUCCCACUGUGGCGGCACUUGAGGAGCCCUUGAGCCCACCACUGCCCUGUGGGAUCCCCUUUCUGGGCUGGCCAAGGCCAGAGCCGGCUCCCCAACGUGGAAGGAGGUGUGGAGGGAGAGGCACCAGUGGGAACCGGGGCUGCACGCAGCGUUUGCAGGCCAGCUGGAGUUCCGGGUGGGCGUGGGCUUGGCGGGCCCCGCACUCGGAGCAGACGGCUGGCCCGGCCGGCCCCGGGCAAUGAGGGGCUUAGCACCUGGGCCAGCGGCUGGGGAGGGUGUACUGGGGCCCCCAGCAGUGCCAGCCCACUGGCGCUGCGCUCAAUUUCUCACCAGGGCUGAGCUGCCUUCCCGUGGGGCAGGGCUUGGGACCUGCAGCCCGCCGUGCCUGAGCCUCCCACCCCCUCCGUGGGCUCCUGUGCAGCCCGAGCCUCCCCGAUGAGUGCUGUCCCCUGCUCUACUGCGGCCAGUCCCAUUGACCACCCAAGGGCUGAGGAGUGCGGGCGCAUGGCGCAGGACUGGCAUGCAGCUGCACCUGCAGUCCCGGUGCAGAAUCCAGUGGGUGAAGCCAGCUGGGUUUCUGAGUCUGGUGGGGACGUGGAGAACCUUUAUGUCUAGCUAAGAAAUUGUAAAUACACCAAUCGGCACUCUGUAUCCAGCUUAAGGUUUGUAAACACACCAAUCAGCACCCUGUGUCUAGCUCAGGGUUUGUGACUGCACCCAUCAACACUCUGUAUCUAGCUACUCUGGUGGGGCCUUGGAGAACCUUUAUGUCUAGCUCAAGGUUUGUAAACACACCAAUCAGCACCCUGUGUCUAGCUCAGGGUUUGUGAAUGCACCAAUCGACACUCUGUAUCUAGCUACUCUGGUGGGGACUUGGAGAAUCUCUGUGUCCACACUUUGUAUCUAGCUAAUCUGGUGGGGACGUGGAGAACCUUUGUGUCUAGCUCAGGGAUUGUAAACGCACCAAUCAGUGCCCUGUCAAAACAGACCACUCGGCUCUACCAAUCAGCAGGAUGUGGGUGGGGCAGAUAAGAGAAUAAAAGCAGGCUGCCCGAGCCAGCAGUGGCAACCCGCUCGGGUCCCCUUCCACACUGUGGAAGCUUUGUUCUUUCGCUCUUUGCGAUAAAUCCUGCUGCUGCUCACUCUUUUGGUCCACACUGCCUUUAUGAGCUGUAACACUCACCACGAAGGUCUGCAGCUUCACUCCUGCCUGAGCCAGCAAGACCACGAACCCACCAGAAGGAAGAAACUCCGAACACAUCCGAACAUCAGAAGGAACAAACUCCAGACGCGCCACCUUAAGAGCUGUAAUAGUCACCGCGAGGGUCCGCGGCUUCGUUCUUGAAGUCAGUGAGACCAAGAACCCACCAAUUCCGGACACACCACCACUCCCGGCUAUUUUUGUGUGUGGGUAUUUUUAGUAGAGGCAGGGUUUUGCCAUGCUGCCCAGGUUGGUCUUGAACUCCUGACUCAAGCAAUCCACCCAUGUCAGCCUCCCAAAGUGUUGGGAUUACAGGAGUGAGCCACUGCGCCCAGCCUCUUUUAAUAUCUGUAUAGUUUCAUGUAUUACACUUGGAUCCUUGAUCCAUUUAGAGUUAAUUCCUGUGUGUGGUGUACAGAUUGGACCUCAUUUUAUAUUUUUCCAGAUAACUAGUCAGUAUACCCAGCACCUUUUACAAAUCUUUGUCCCAGUAACAUAUAUUUAUUCUUUAAAAAUUCUGGUGAUAAAUACAAGUUUAAGGAAGAAAAAAAUCACAAACAAAUCCUACCCAGAGAUAACCGCAAAUUAUGUUUUGGUAGACUGCUCUGGUUUAAAUAUUUGACCCCUCUGAAACUCAUGUUGAAACGUACUCCCCAAUGUAACAGUAUUAAGAGGUGAGGCUUUUAAGAGGUUAUUGGGUCAUGAGGGCUGUGCCCUCAUUAAUGGAUUAAUCCAUUCAUGGAUUCAUGGGUAAUCAUGGGACUGGGUCUGUUAUAAAAGCCAGUUUGGCAAGUUCUUGUCCUCUCACCAUGUGAUGCCCUCUGCCAUAUUAUGAUGCUGUAAGAAGUCCCUUACCAGAAGUGGUCCCUCAACCUUGGACAACCAGC
rnacentral:lncRNA from 1 species